GUGCCAGCCGCCGCGGUAAUACGUAGGUGUCAAGCGUUGUCCGGAUUUAUUGGGCGUAAAGCGCCCGCAGGCGGCUUGCCAAGUUCGAUGUGAAAUCUCCCGGCUCAACUGGGAGGGUGCAUCGAAAACUGGCAGGCUUGAGGCAGGGAGAGGGAUGUGGAAUGUCAGGUGUAGUGGUGAAAUGCGUAGAUAUCUGACGGAACACCAGUGGCGAAGGCGGCAUCCUGGCCCUGUCCUGACGCUCAGGGGCGAAAGCGUGGGGAGCAAACCGGAUUAGAUACCCGUGUAGUCC
rnacentral:rRNA from 1 species